rnacentral:rRNA from 1 species
UACGAAGGGGGCUAGCGUUGUUCGGAAUUACUGGGCGUAAAGCGCACGUAGGCGGAUCGAUCAGUCAGGGGUGAAAUCCCAGAGCUCAACUCUGGAACUGCCUUUGAUACUGUCGAUCUAGAGUAUGGAAGAGGUGAGUGGAAUUCCGAGUGUAGAGGUGAAAUUCGUAGAUAUUCGGAGGAACACCAGUGGCGAAGGCGGCUCACUGGUCCAUUACUGACGCUGAGGUGGCGAAAGCGUGGGAGCAAACACGG